ACAGCAGCCGCCACGGUAAUACGUAGGUGGCAAGCGUUGUCCGGAAUUAUUGGUCGUAAAGGGCUCGCAGGCGGUUUCUUAAGUCUGAUGUGAAAGCCCCCGGCUCAACCGGGGAGGGUCAUUGGAAACUGGGAAACUUGAGUGCAGAAGAGGAGAGUGGAAUUCCACGUGUAGCGGUGAAAUGCGUAGAGAUGUGGAGGAACACCAGUGGCGAAGGCGACUCUCUGGUCUGUAACUGACGCUGAGGAGCGAAAGCGUGGGGAGCGAACAGGAUUAGAUACCCCCGUAGUCCCUGUCUCUUAUAA
rnacentral:rRNA from 1 species